AGCCUUACGCAUACACACCCAGACACUCUCCUACUCACACACGUGCACACGCAUGCACACCCAUGCCCAGGCCUGCACACACAAUACACACGCCGUCUCACACACACCCCUAUCGCUCGCUCUGCACAUUCCCAGACGCCUCUUUUCUCUGGGCGGCUGCAGAUAGGAUUGCAGAGCCCGGGGCUUGGGGUGCAGGACAGAUGCCAGCUGGAGGGACGGGGCGCAGGCGGGGUCCCCGGGAUGAAAGGGCAGACGCCAGCUUCCAUGUUUCUGUCGUCUACUGUCUCUGUUUAUCCUUCAGAUACAACCUAUAAAGCGACUGUUCAUCUACUUAGUCCUGGACGCUGCCCUGGGGGUGCCGGCCAUGAGAUGACCAGCCAGGCUGCACGCAGAGCCCCCGUAACUGCAGUGAAAUUGCCAUCACACAAGGAUGCGCUGCCAUACAAUGACAUUGAAUCAGAAACCAGCCGAGACAAUGUAUUCAUUCGGGAGAUCCAUAAAUAUUUGGAAAUUGAGCAACACGCUUAUGGAGGACCCUGUCUCAACAAAAAUAAUCAUGCAACAGAACAGGGAGAAUUUUAACUGAAUGAUUUUUUAAAAGCAUAUUAAUAUUUAUGGGAUGAGGCUAAUGGAGUGCGUGGAGAGAAAUGUAUCCCUUUAAAUAUGCCUCCACGAUAAAUCGGCACGUUCACGCUAAGAAAACAGAAGAAAGGAAAAAAGCAAACAAAACGCAGAGCCGCCCAAGGAGUCAGGGGACCAGAGCGAGCCAGCGCCCUAGAAAGCGGAAAAGUAAUAAAAGUGGUGGAACCGAAAGCUGAUUCUUUCAAAAGACGGAUAAAAAUGACAACAUCUCAGCUGGGGUCGUCAAGGGGAAAUAAGGCAGCACCCACAUCCCCCAGACCGGGAACGAAAGAGGGGGACUCCCCCCGAGCUGGCGGAAAUUAAAAGAAUUGACGGGAGCCCUAAGAAAGCUGUUCUGCCAAGAGAUUAGACAAAUCAAAGGGAGUGACCAAAUCCUGGAAAGGCACGCGAGUCUGGAAAGUAAAGAAUCCAAAUAAAACCAUGAGUACCCAUCCAGGAGGCGCCUCGUCGCUAAGAAAGCCAGCAGCCGAAGAGUCCGCUGUCCCAGAAGAUGGGGCUGGAGUAGGCCCUUGGCCAGCACCGUGGGCCGACCUGGAGGUCUGAGGACACAGCAGGGGAGAAGCCACAUCCCAGAAGGUGACGAUGAAAACCCUAUUUACAACAACCAAGCUAUGGAAACAACCUCAGUGCCCAAGGCCAGAGGAUUAGGAAGAUGUGACCUCUAUACACAGUGGAAUACUACGCAGUCGUGAAAAGGAUGAACUCUUGCUAUUUGUGACAACAUGGACAGGUCUGGAGGGGAUGAUGCUGAGUAAAAUAAAUCGGGGAGAAAGACAAAUACUGGAUGAUUUCACUCGUAGGUGGACAAUAGAGAAAUAAAGGAACUUACAAAAUUAAGCACAACAUACCCUAGAAAUAUGACUGCAGAACCGAGACCACAGAGGCGCA